rnacentral:lncRNA from 1 species
UAAUUGUUCCCUUUUUCUGACUUGGUUGAAGGCAUACAAAUUUUUGAGAGGCGGGAGGGGUACUGGGGAUCAAACUCAGGGGUACUGAACCGCUGAACCACAUACCCAGUCCUAUUAUGUAUUUUAUGUUGAGACAGGGUCUCACUGAGUUGCUUAGUACCUUACCUUUGCUGAGGCUGGCUUUGAACUUGUAAUUCUCCUGUUUUUCAGCCUUCCAAGUCGCAGGUAUUAUAGGCAUGUGCUACUAUGCUCAGAAAAGGUAUACAAUUUUAAUUACUUGUUCCCAUAAUGGGAUGGUUUAAUGUGUUUUUUAACCUCAGUUUGUCCUGUACUUGUUCCUUAAAAUAAUUGCUUGGGUUCAAAACAAUUUUGGGGGAUUGACUAAUGUUAGGGUAAUCAAGGUAGCCUGGGGCAACAACAGAAUGUAUGGGCAUCUAAGCCUGAGUGAAGCCUUCUAGCCAAGCAACCAAAAACAAACAAACAAACAAAUAAAAAAACAAAACAAAAAACAAGCUUUAACCUGUAAGGGUCCCGCGAAACGUCGGAGAAAGAGACCACCAAAUGACCACUCAUGCAAUUGGCAGAAGGGGAUUUAUUGAACCAGCAUGCUGGGGCUCCGUGCCCACUCAAGAAGGGAAAGCAGCCCAGAGCCCCGAGCAGGGGCUGAGCACUGCUUAAGUACACUUUUUGGGGAGGGCGGAGGGCUUUGUAUACAUCAGAACAAAUCAUCAUGAGGCGCGGGAAAAUUGAACAACAACUCCUAAACAUGAUUAGUUCAUUCAUUGGCAGGAACAGGUCAGGCUGGAGUGAUAGGUCAUUCCUAAGGAGAGUACACAUUCAGACUGAUUGGUUCAGGCCCUGCAAGGCCUACGUGCAACCACCCAGACCCCUUCAGUUAUUAAACAAUCAGACAAUCAGGGGAAAUGUUUACUGGGCGGUUCUAAGCAUUGUCUUAACAGCUACAGAAAUUUCAGGUUUUGCAGGUAGCAUAGAAACCUAACAAUACCUCCUUUACAUUUUAACUCAGACCUUGCAGCUUAGAAACUUUUACAACACCUGGUCUUUUACCCUUUAACUUUUACGCUUUAACUUCAAUUUCUUUUACCCUUACAAACCUAGAGUUUUAAUUUGGUGUGGUGGGAUCUCGUUCUCUGAGGCCCUUAUUUCUAUCUCUUGCCUCAGAUUCACGGAACUUCAAAUGUCUUAGACAAGAGUUAAUUCCUUGUAUAAGAAAUUUGGUACUGUAGAUAUAGUGCUUAAAAUCUUAUUUGUCCUGUUAGUUUCUGCCUUCAAGUUUCUGAAUCAGUUUGAUCAACUGGAAGAUACAAUUUUAGUUUCUUCAUCCUUUUAUUCAUUUAAUAAACAAUUAUUAACUGCAAACCUUAUUACUUAUUCCCAUGAGUGACUUUAUGAUAAAGCAAGUGUUUUCAACAACAGAAUUGUUGACAUUUUGGGCUGGAUCACUUUGCAUUGAAGGUAGGGGCUGAUCUAUGCAUUAUAUUUAGCAGCAUCCUUCCUCCAUUUUGACAACUAAAAAAUAUCUCCAGAAUCCAUCUAUGUAUGAUACAUCAAAGUAUAUAAGUGCAUUCUACUGUCAUGUAUAACUCAUUAAAACAAAUAAAAAAAUAUCUCCAGACAAUUCCAAAUGUCUCCUGGGGAGCAAAAUCACAGUUGAGAGGCAUUGGUGAUAAUGGGACAGAACUGAUGGGAGUUGGAAGUGGGGGUGGGAGAGAAGUAAGAGAAGUGACAUUUGGGAUGGGAGACAUGAAUGGAUCUGAGAUAAUAAGGAGGAAGAAUAGAGAAAUCUCUGGGACUGGCAAAUUGUGGGGGCUGCGGGAAAAGAAGGAGUCAGCCAGUACUCUGGUUUGGGCAAC